GACGUAGGGCGCAAGCGUUGUCCGGAUUUAUUGGGCGUAAAGAGCUCGUAGGCGGCUGGUCACGUCGACUGUGAAAACCCGGGGCUCAACUCCGGGCCUGCAGUCGAUACGGGCUGGCUUGAGUGCGGUAGGGGAGACUGGAAUUCCUGGUGUAGCGGUGAAAUGCGCAGAUAUCAGGAGGAACACCGGUGGCGAAGGCAGGUCUCUGGGCUGACACUGACGCUCAUGCACGAAAGCGUGGGGAGCAAACAGG
rnacentral:rRNA from 1 species